UGUGGUGUUUUGCUGUUUUAACCAAUCAAACAUCUCUGCUUCAAUUCAAGUACUUUUUCUUUUUCUUCUCUUUUUUAACUGAAUGAUAUAUAACCCUUCCGAUCACUAAUUGCCUGGAAAUGGACAAAGCUUUAAAUUGCAUAUAAGGGAAGUGAUGGUAAACAAUAUGUUUUUUCAUAGAAAGAUGAAUUAAAAUGGACUACCUCCUAAUUUAGUUAGAUUUUAUGCACUUAAGUUCUCUAACAAAAGACAUAUUUUGGCACACAUUUCCCAAAUUGAAGGGCGCCUUUGUGAUAUAUAAUGGAUUAUAGCCUCUUCUGUUACCUUUACAAUGGUAACUUAGUAAACUUACAUUUAAAUUACUAGACAAGGAAAAAAGCAUCCAAAGUCAGAGGCUGCUGGAUUAAGAAGGUAGAGCAAUUUAUCACAGGAUAUCUAAUAAUAACAAGCCUGUUUAAAAAAACAACAACAAUUCAUUUAAUUAUAUUUUUGUGUGCAUUUUAAUAAUUAACACUAUUUUGGUUUAAACAACACAUUUACCUGCUUAAAUAAAUGGCUUGAACUGGAAAUUAUAAUCGUAACCCAUAGUUCAAUACAGCAUGUGUAGUACAUUUGUACCUGUGUGGUAUUUGUGCAAUGUUAUUUUAAUAACUAAAAGUGUUAUACAUAAAGAAUGCCCCUGUAUUCUGGGCAAAAUAAUAAAUAUGGAGCAAAAAAAAUGUAGCUUUGAUUAAAAAAUACUAUUCAUAUUGCAUACAAUUACUUUUAAGCACUUUUCAAUGAUUUGACACAAAUGUAUCUCUCUCUUGACCAAGGCUGCCUGUUUACAUUUGAAAAUCCAAAUUAUCUUUAUAAAUACUGUACAUCCUCCUCUCUGGUGGUUAAGGCUGUUUAAUUUCAAACAGUUAAUAGAAAAUGUAUGAGCGGUUUCAGGCAUGCAGCUGGGUUAAAGAGUAAUAAAAGCAGCUUGGGUAUUGAAGAGGCUGAUGAAGGAAGUCUCUUUGAAAGGGAGGGGCUGGACCACUGGACUGCUUUCUAUUGUUGACCAUCUAGCCACACCCACUACAAAGCACUGAGAGGGGCCCAGACAAAAAACACUUGAACUUUUAACUGGUUAUGGGGCAGUCUCAUUAUGCCUCUGAUGCCUCUAUAUGAUCUACACAAGCAAAUGAGACCAUCAGCGAGAAGGUUGGCUAUUUCUAUAUAGUUAUUCUAAAUGGGUGAGAUUCCCUGCAAAAUCAGAUUAAACAAUUUAUGGCAGCCAGCGCCACAGACAGUUCAUUUUCCUCACCCCACAGAACAUGAGUUCUCUUCCAAUGAGUCAAUUAAUCCACAUCCUCCGUCUCAACGAUCCAGACCGUGGCAACAAAACACAAAGAAAUCAAGACGAGGAUCAGUAGUAUUACUUGCUACGAGACCACUAGCAGGUGCUGAGACUCCAUGACAGCAGGACAGGCCACAGCGGGGCGAGACAGAGCUUCCCAUCAGAGUGGGAAACAGUGUGCCGGCGUGAGUUGCUGUUGAAUCAGAGGUGGGCAAUAGAAAGACUAAGGCUUCGACAGAGAACACAGGCUUUUUCCUGUUCUUCUUCUCCCAGCAUUAAUGGCUGGAGCAUUCCUAUUACCUGCUCUGAGCCCUGAAGAUGGGAUUCCUGUGGUGCCGGCCGGGAGCUGCUCUGCUGCGCUGCAUUGUGAUGAGUUCUCCACUGAUGUUUUCCUGCUCUCGCUCCUCUCAACUCUGCCAGUUCUACUUUUCUCUCCCGCCUGUCUUCAACCACGGUGUAGUCGCUUUCUCAAUAUGUCUAGUACUUUUCUGCUUCUUUUUUCUAUGCUCUUGCUGAAUUUUUGUGCACUCUUUUGGUACGGUCUCUUCCUUUAUGAGUGUGUGCGCACAUUUUUUUUUACUACGUUGCAUCUGUUCUCAUUAUUCCUGUAUGACCAAACUACUACUAAGGAUGUGAAUUGAAAAAAUAUCAUCAACUACAGUCAAAACUGACAACUUGGUAACUAUACAUUUCCAGGUGUGCUGUUAAAAAAUUAUCAGGUUAUAAGGUGUCACCUUCUUAUCUGGCCAAGUCAAAAUAUAAUGCUAGAGCUGUAAUUCCCUUUACACAAUUUUUUCCCUGACCUUUUGUAUUCUCCUUUCCUUCAACCAAACUCAAACGUGCUUUUACAAAGGGCUUAUUCAGUGCAUGUUUUUUGCAUGAAAAAGCCAUAUUUAAACAUUCCUUAAUACAGGGAUAAAAAUUCAUUACCUGUGAGAAUUGUGUAUUGU